UACAUUUAUAAAUGCUUUUUGUAUCACCUUUGUCAUUGGUAAUUUCUUUUUUUUUUUUUUUCUUUCCCCCAGAACUACAACUAACUGGCUGAGGUAUGAAAAUUGCUGAAGGGCAUUUUCUAUCACACUUUGGGCAGCUGCACACGAAAUUGAUGGAAAAUUACCUUCCCAAGCUAACAGCUGAUUGUCUGCCUCAUCACCUGAACUUCAAAAUUACAUUCCACUGUUCCCAAGUGCACUUCAAGAGGGAGAGGCAGAAGCAGCAGCAAGCCAAGGCAUCGGCACCAGACUGCAAAGCUGCAUUAAGUGAAGGGAGGCUUCUUACCCAUACCACUGAGAUCUAUAAUGCCCAGACAUGAAGUCACCAUGGCCUCUCUUAAGGAAAAGCAUGUGUUCAAAGGAAGCAGAUUAUCUUGUCUGUCAGUCCUGAUUUAGCCCUUUUUCAGUAUUUUUCUGUCUGAAUUUGGCUAUCUAACCAAACGCCGCUUUGGAUGAUUGGCAUUUUUAUCAGAGCAGCAAAUAGCAGAUGACAAAUGAUGUACAGCUCCUGCAGAUUCAUGAAGCUUUGGAUUUAUAAACACUUUCAUGACUACACCACAGCUAUGGAAAUAUUUCCAAACAAAGAGAAACAGAAGCUUCCAAGGUGAGAAUAUCUCAGUGUAAGAUGGUUAUAACAAAAACUGGAGUUUGCCGUGGAACCAGCUCCAGCACUUGACACAUCCUUCACACUUUUAUCUAUCCCUUUCUCUUCCAUUGCCCACUUCUUGUGGUUUAUUUUCCUGCCUGCCCUGAUGAGUUUUAAUUUCAAAUGUGCAGAGAUUUCUCACAAUGUGCUCACUGCGGAGACAUUCAGAGAUUUUAGAGAUACUGUUUUUGAAAAGCCUCGAAUAUGAAAGCAACCCAGGCAUUUACAGGCUGUGGCUUCCAAUAAAAUGCAGGUGCUUUACUUCUCA
rnacentral:lncRNA from 1 species